CUGGCUCAGAUUGAACGCUGGCGGCAGGCCUAACACAUGCAAGUCGAACGGUAGCACAGAGAGCUUGCUCUCGGGUGACGAGUGGCGGACGGGUGAGUAAUGUCUGGGAAACUGCCUGAUGGAGGGGGAUAACUACUGGAAACGGUAGCUAAUACCGCAUAACGUCUUCGGACCAAAGUGGGGGACCUUCGGGCCUCACACCAUCGGAUGUGCCCAGAUGGGAUUAGCUAGUAGGUGGGGUAAUGGCUCACCUAGGCGACGAUCCCUAGCUGGUCUGAGAGGAUGACCAGCCACACUGGAACUGAGACACGGUCCAGACUCCUACGGGAGGCAGCAGUGGGGAAUAUUGCACAAUGGGCGCAAGCCUGAUGCAGCCAUGCCGCGUGUAUGAAGAAGGCCUUCGGGUUGUAAAGUACUUUCAGCGGGGAGGAAGGCGAUAAGGUUAAUAACCCUUAUCGAUGACGUACCCGCA
rnacentral:rRNA from 1 species